rnacentral:lncRNA from 1 species
AUCAACAAAGGUGAACCCCAAUGGGUUUAAAAGAUCUAGCUACUCAUGUUCAUGGUUAAAGCAAUUAAGGAACAAAAUAAGGAAAAGAAAAUUAAAGGCAUGUACACCCUUCUCUUUCAAGUUGAAUGAGAAACCCUAAAUUAGCAAAUUCGAAAUCUCAAACCCUAGUUGCCUCUUGAAUGCUCCCAAAGUUUGUCUUGAUCUUUAAUUCGAUGUUGGAACAAGUGAAAUCCCUCCUUCAAUUGAUGAAUUUGAUUUCUCAAGGUCUACAAUUGAGGUAUAGGAAACAAUUGAUUGAGUGUGUGUCUUGGAAUUGAGUCAAAAAUUUGUGUCCUUUCCAAAAGAACUCAAAAUUGCCUAUAUAGUUGAUUCAGCAUGGCCGGAGUCCAGGCUGUGCUGAUUCAGCAUGGCCGCAGUCCAGGCAGUGCUGAAUCUAUGGAGUCUAUUGUGCUGACUCCUUCCAAGCCGUGCCUAAGCCGGUGCUGAGCCACCACAGGUCGUACUGGAGGCCGUGGUGGCUUCGGAAGCCGUGUUGAAAUGGCACAAUUGGGGAUAGCUUCUUGGCAAUUCAGCACGGCCAGAGUCCAGGCCGUGCUCAACCCUCGGGGUGCUAGUCCUCGCCCAAUUUGAUGGAUUUUGGUCCAUAAUCACACGUAUUUUUCUCGAUUAUUGAUGGUGUCCUUCUAAAAUGACCUGAAACGAGAAAGGAAAUAAAAGACAGGUGAUUCUAGCAUAAAACGGGAUAAUCAUGCAUAAAAAUGUAAACAAUCGGGUAUUAAAACAUGUGUAGUAUGAUGCUUAUCAAGAACUCAACCAUUUACCAGGUUCAGGCCUUCUUUAGAUGUCGGACUCUCAAAAUGACCACUGCAGAAGAAUUCACAUAUUCAUGAUCAGCUCGGACAUCAGCGGACAAAAGAUGAGGAAGAAGAAUUCCACCAUCAUCAGUCUUAUAUGCCGUCACUCACUGUAAUAACUUGACGACUUGUCUACAUGCCUUGCAGUUGCAAAUAUUUAUGCAGCCUGUUCAAGCAACUCAGGAACAUAGUCCCACUAGGGUCAAGUAGAACUUUACAUUUCUAUCUAGCACGUGUGCAUCGUUUACUUGUUCAUCCACACAUGUGUGG